CCCUUAGAUGUUCUGGGCCGCACGCGUGCUACACUGAGUGGAUCAGCGGGUCAGGUUGCGCGAAAGUGUUUCCUAAUCUUUAAAUCCGCUCGUGAUGGGGAUUGACGGUUGCAAUUUUCCGUCAUUAACGAGGAAUACCUUGUAAGCGCGGGUCAUCAUCCCGCGCUGAAUACGUCCCUGCCCUUUGUACACACCGCCCGUCGCUCCUACCGAUUGAGUGGUCCGGUGAGGCUUUGGGAUCUGAGCGGAAAGAGCGUUUCGCUGUUUCUGCCCGGAAAACUCAGUCGAACCUUAUCAUUUAGAGGAAGGAGAAGUCGUAACA
rnacentral:rRNA from 1 species